rnacentral:lncRNA from 1 species
CCCGCCUUCAUGCCUUAAGUUUCCUGAAAGAGAAGAUUAUCCAAAGAAAACUGCAGUUCAGCAAGUGGAGACUGGCCUGCAGAUUCCCUGGCCUCCUUGCUUAGGGUACCGAGGUAUCUGUUACUUCCAGAACGAAGAAGAGUUAUUGCCCAACCCCAAGAAACCACAGCAGAAAAGAUUCCUUUUCCACCUGAUGAGAAAAACCUACAACAGCCAAUCAAGUUGAAGCCCCAAAGGAACACUGGAGGGACCCUCUCCUGAGAAUCAGCAUCUCAACCAUCACCUCCUCCCCACCGUUUUUACUCCAAAAGACUGAUCUCAUGAGAGAAAUCGCAGUCAUCGGCCUCCUCCCA